UUUGGAAAUGAAUUUAAAAACAUAUUUGGGACUCCAGAGUUUGUCGCUCCUGAGAUAGUCAACUAUGAACCUCUUGGUCUUGAGGCAGAUAUGUGGUAAGGAGUAUGUCCUUGGUGUUGUUUGCUUUCUGAUUUAUUUGACUAUUCUUCUGACAUGUUUUUUUGUUUGUUUUGUGUUGUUUUUAGGAGUAUCGGGGUAAUAACCUAUAUCCUCCUAAGUGGGGCCUCCCCAUUUCUUGGAGACACUAAGCAAGAAACGUUAGCAAAUGUAUCCGCUGUCAACUACGAAUUUGAGGAUGAAUACUUCAGUAAUACCAGUGCCCUAGCC
rnacentral:lncRNA from 1 species